AAAUUGAAGAGUUUGAUCAUGGCUCAGAUUGAACGCUGGCGGCAGGCCUAACACAUGCAAGUCGAGCGGUAGCACAGAGAGCUUGCUCUCGGGUGACGAGCGGCGGACGGGUGAGUAAUGUCUGGGAAACUGCCUGAUGGAGGGGGAUAACUACUGGAAACGGUAGCUAAUACCGCAUAAUGUCGCAAGACCAAAGUGGGGGACCUUCGGGCCUCAUGCCAUCAGAUGUGCCCAGAUGGGAUUAGCUAGUAGGUGGGGUAACGGCUCACCUAGGCGACGAUCCCUAGCUGGUCUGAGAGGAUGACCAGCCACACUGGAACUGAGACACGGUCCAGACUCCUACGGGAGGCAGCAGUGGGGAAUAUUGCACAAUGGGCGCAAGCCUGAUGCAGCCAUGCCGCGUGUGUGAAGAAGGCCUUCGGGUUGUAAAGCACUUUCAGCGGGGAGGAAGGCGGUAAGGUUAAUAACCUCAUCGAUUGACGUUACCCGCAGAAGAAGCACCGGCUAACUCCGUGCCAGCAGCCGCGGUAAUACGGAGGGUGCAAGCGUUAAUCGGAAUUACUGGGCGUAAAGCGCACGCAGGCGGUCUGUCAAGUCGGA
rnacentral:rRNA from 1 species